GUGUGUGUGUGUGUGUGUGUGUGUGUGUGUGUGUGUGUGUGUGUGUGUGUGUGUGUGUGUUUAGCGAUGGACAACUCUUGAACACUGGGUGUCACUGAAGUUAGCGACCGAAUUUGGUCAAAUGUAUUUCUCAUCUCAAACCUCUAUCUUCCCAUACAGCUUUGUUCGUUUCUGUAUAAGCUUACUUAAGGUAAUUAGAAACGUUACGCCGGUAACGAAAUGUGGCGAUUAACUGUUCACUCUAUAUAGGGCUGGCAGGCGGUCGGGUAUAAUGACAUAAUUGAAGUCCUUCGUGCAAUGAGCCCAUCGGCUCUGUGAGGGUUAAGAGACCCAGCCGGUGAAACCGAAAUGAGGAACCUGGAAUAAUCAGCGACAGAUACUCUAUUUAUGUGCGUGCUGCAUCUGAGAUUACAUCAUGCAUGACAAAGAUUCGUUUUGGAGAAUGCAAAAGAACAAAAACCACUGAAGUCAUCGUCGUCAACGGCGGAGUCAUUGUACAGGUUAGAGGUUUGCGCUCUAAACCAAGACCAAGGCGCUCAAGUGCGCCUCGGUUUCGGCUCUGUCGUAUUGGGUCGCGCUUCGUUACUGAGCAGCCAUUAGGAAAUUCAGCUUUGUUAUGAAACCUUGUAUAGCCAAUGAGCUCUUCGAAUAAAGGGCUUCAAGUAUGCCACUGGACUCGACCACGUACCAUCACUAAACAUCAAUCGACGAAUGUAGUCAUCUAAAAAGACAUUUACAAAGGCUGCGAGAAAAUAUGAAAAUGCACUAAAUGGGUAUACAGGUACUUCCCCAGAAUAAAAUCGUGGCUAUGCUUUUUCUUAACCUCCCCAUUUGGCUUGUUACAUUUUGGAAAAAUUAAUUACAAAAAAGGUGUUAUGGACUGUUAUUUUGCAAUCUUGCUAGCCAUGCGUAUACGCCUUUACCUUUGAUGAAGGUUCAGGAAAGCAUCGCUGGGAGCCCAGCGACCGGUCGAAGGUAUGCAGCCUGCAUUUUACCGCUGAAGAUUACAGAACAGUGACGAAAAGGAAGAUGUUGAAGCCCACAGCCGUGCCUUCCUUAUUUCCCGCUUCUCCUGAUCCACGUGGGCAAGAUCCAAUGCCGCGGAAAAAGCGGCUAAAACGAACGCAGGGGGAAACAACGCUGGCACCCAUACAAGUAAAAAUACUGGGAACGUCCAACGCAGAUUCUUCUCAAGAAGAGCGAGCAUCAGCGGAGCCUGGGGAAGUAUAUAGUUCUGAAAACCCAAUUGAAACUGCACAAGAGGCCGAGUGGUUGCAUUUUCCAUCAAGUCAGGACAACAUGGAGGACUGUAGUUCAGUUAUACAAGGGGAACACCAGAAGAGGCCAGUGCGGCGCUCCAUGACGUCGCAAACGUCGAUCGGUUUGAAGAAGAUGCGCUCCCUGGUCGCGGCAACUAAGACGUUGCGGCGGAAGUGCAGCAGGCUGAAAGAAAUGAACAGUAAUUUGCAUUCACAGCUAGAGAAGCUAAAGAAAGAUUUUUUCGAGAUGAAAGCCCUCGCCGAGGCGAAUGGCGCUCUAACGCUGCAGGUACGCAGUUACGUCAGUGGACGAAUGUUAUAUUAAUCCUUUUAUAUUCGCACUUAAUUUUAAAUGACUCUGAACAUAAUAACAAUUUAGGAGUAAGUCAAUUCUAUCAACAUCACCCGUACUACGAGAGGACGUCCGGUGAGCGAAGGAAUUCUCGAAACUAUAAGAGAUUGUAAAGGUGGCGAUGCUACCCUUAAGUUCUCGCGCAUCGGCUAGCAGUGACGUCAUACUUUGACGGCCUCAGGUAAUGUCUAAGACUGCUGUGUUAGUAGAUGCAAGGUCUGAAGUAGCAAGUUUCAAAGAAAUGUUCUCAGCCAAUGCGGCCAAGUACACAAGGAGCGACGCAACAUAAAGCGACGUGCACGUGUCGAAGAUUGUUCGCCAAACUCAGAACAUUAAACCUAGUCUUAAUUUUUUCUGUUCUAAUAGUCGUAUGAUCGGAACAGGAACGAUAGAGAAUUAUCAGGUACUCAUUUAUCAGUCUAUUAACUUAGUGUCCCUAUACUUUUUUGUAAGAAACGUCAGAAAGGGGAGGAUGGAAGCUUGCAGUAAAAAACCUGUGAACAGGGGUUGUUCCCAUUCUUUAAUCGCUGUUUACA
rnacentral:lncRNA from 1 species